GUAAUUACAAGCUUGCCUCCAUCUGAUGAAGGGCUUCGUUUGAACUAUUAUCACCUUGAGGAUCAACUUGCACUUCUUGCAAAGCUAGAAGAAGAUACAGAUGAAAUAGCUCUUCAUGGUGCCCGUCGUUCUCAAACAUCAAUGAGCACCUUGUCAGGUGCAAAAGGGAUAGCUUACAUGGAGUACAGUACUGGGCGUAACACCGGCCAAGCACAGAUAAAAAAUAAGCCAAAGGAUCCAUCAAAGAGACAUUUGUUAUUUCGAAAACGAUAUAGUUCAAACUGAAGCAAGCAGGGCUGGCUAAUCAGAUUGUUGCUCUAGAAAGUAGGUGAAGUGGUUCGCAGACACCAAUCAACCAUGUAAGAAAACACAAGAGAUGUACAGGGCAGAGAACAGUGGAAAUCACUAAUCAUGUCACUGUCAGAUAUUUGGUAAGAGGCCCACAAGAAGCACACUAGAGAGAGAAAACGAAUUGAUGGUUGCCUUUUGUGUGGAUACUUUAGAUGUUGGUGAAGGAACCUCUUGUCCUUGCAAAGACCUAAUAAGGAGAUCUAGCAUUUGACUACUUUUGGGACAUUCUCUUUGCUUUUGGCUUAUGUGCAAAUUGUAUUUGAUCAUGAAUCCCAUUCCAAGAUAAAGAGCUUCUACUCAUUACACCAUGCUCGUGUGAAAGAAAAGUCAGCUAACCUACCUCAGCAAUCGUUAAAACACUUCAUCUUUUCUCACCGGCAUAUGAUUGACUUUCACAAAUUCAAAGCCUUCAAGGCAAACAUUAGACAUUACACACAUGCAUUUGUCACCAUUAAUGUCUAUUAAAGGGAAAAUAAAACUCAUUAAGGGAAGAAAAAAGAAGAAAGAAGUAACACUUUGUGGAAGCAAUAACUCCCAUUCUUAGGCAUAGUCUGAGUGUGAUGAAGUUGAGCCACUUUUGGUGACCAUCUUGUGCUCAUGGGAUUCCCCACUGAAGCUAAAAGGUGCAUUUCCAGUCUUACCCCUGACAAAAGUUCCAUCGACAUUAACAUAUUAACAUGAGCUCUUUUCUUGUCUGCCAGAUCACAUAUAUUUUAUGUAACUUGGCUUGUCCACUAAGGGCUCACACAAUGGCAUUCGUGCGAAGAAAACAAUAAAAUAUCGAUUUUGUGUUUGAUUAUCGUCAAUCAAAUCGCUAGAAAUAUAUUCUAUCGAACAAUGGAACCUUCGAUGUACCAAUCAUAAGCCUUUUGUUGGACUAAAGAAAAGGUCUAACCCUGUCCCUGUUGGACAACUUUCUUAAGCACUUAUUAUUUCCCCCUAUAUCUCACGGGAAUGAAAUUCGUUCUCCGUUGUCUGUAAAUACGGCUAGGCAAAUCAUCUAAUAAUCUAUAGCACUGCAAUG